GCAACCCUAAUUGACCCAUUUAAUCUUCACUCACUUCAGACUACCAAAGUGGCCGCCUCCCUCUCCUUCAGUCCUCACUCCUCACCAAGUUCACACACCAGUCAUCACGAUCAGCUGAACAAACAGAUCGGAGACGGGCAGACGACCUGAAACGCCUAGUCUAGCGGCGCCGCCUGCCUCUCCUCCCUCUCCUUCUUUCUCGGUUUCUUCCGCUCUGAUUCUCCUUCUUUCUCCUCAAAUCCCCAAGACGCCGACAAGCGACAACUGCUAUUGUUCUGGUCUUGUAGCCUAGUCACUAGCUGCGAUUGUUCUGGUUAUCAAGUACACUUCAAUUAAGCACAGAGUGCUUGUGAAGAUCAACCAUAGCCCAGACAAAGCCGAGAGGAGGUGAAGUGGUUGUUGUCGGAGAGCAUGGCUACUGAUGGGAAUGCUAUUGUACUAUUGACGACAGCUCCAGUGGAACCAAACAACUGUAUUUGAAUUAGGACUUUCUAUUUCAAUUGGAUAUUUGUAUUACAAUUUGGACUUUGUAUUUAAAUUGGGACACUUUGUAUUUUAAUUGUAACUUCAAUUGUUCUGGACUUGUAUUUGAAUUUGGAUUUUAUG